CCUCGUAGUCAGUGCGGGUAUAGGUUGCCCUGCUCCGGUCGUAAUUUUUCUUGAUCCCCUCGAAGGCUUGAGGGUUUGCAGAGGCAAGACGGGAAGCCUCUGCCGCAGGGUCGUCCGCAGCUGCUGUCCAAAUCAAGUCUGCGGUACAAGAGUUUGCAACGUGUAGGACACAAAUUCAUGGUUGGGUCGUUUGCAGCUGCUGUCCUACUCAAGUCUGCGGUGCAAGGGUUUGGAACAUGCAAGACCAUGUAACGACAUGCAACUUCAUAGAGACACCCCUGGAAACAGCAGGAGCCUCUGUGAGUGAGGAACCUCAGAUGGUCUGCAGCACAGCAGGAGGCAACUGUCCAAAGCCUGUGUAUGUAUGGAACCUCAGAAAGAUGUCUGCAGCACAGCAGGAAGCAAAUAUCAGAAACCUGUGCGAAAAUGGAAUCUCAGAAAGAUAGCCUGCAGCACAGCAGGAGGCAACUGUCCAAAGCCUGUGUAUGUAUGGAACCUCAGAAAGAUGUCUGCAGCACAGUGGGAGGCCAAUUUCAGAAGCCCGUGCAAAAAUGGAAUCUCAGAAAGAUAGCCUGCAGCACAGCAGGAGGCAACUGUCAAAAGCCUGUGUAAGUAUGGAAUCUCAGAAAGAUGUCUGCAGCACAGUGGGAGGCCAAUUUCAGAAGCCUGUGCAAAAAUGGAAUUUCAGAUAGUCUGUGUUUAGCAGAGCAGGAGACGAAUGUCAGAAGCCUGCACAAAAAUGGAAACUCAGAAAGGUAGUCUGAAGCUAGGGUCAAAUCAUCUGACCCCCCCCCAACCUUUAACACCCCACCCCCCUCUCUCUCUACCUCUCUCACUCUCACUCUCACUCUCACUCUCACACACACACACACACACACACACACACACACACACACACACACACACACACACACACUCUCUCUCUCUCUCUCUCUCUCUCUCUCUCUCUCUCUCUCUCUCUCUCUCUCUCUCUCUCUCUCUCUCUCUCCCUCUCCCCCUCCCCCCCCCCCCCCCCCCCCCCCCCCCCCCCCCCCCCCCCCCCCCCCCCCCCCCCCCCCCCCCCCCUCCCCCCCCCCCUACCCCUACCUACCUACCUUACCCCCCCCCCCCUCUUUCUCUCUGUCUGUGCAUACUUUCUAGCUCUCACUCCAUUUUGUUUCACACUAUGUUGGAGGAGGCAGAGUCCACCAGAAGUGACAGCCCAGGGGGUGGCAAAACCCAGGAGCAGGAAGCCUGGAAGGGCCUGUCUGGGUUGCCAAGUGGCAGAAUGACAGAAAACUGAAAAUACAGCAUGAACUUAGUGAUGCUUUAGGAGACCGCCCUGCUCUGCCGAUGACAUGUUGCACCCUUCUGCUGGGGUUGAUCAGCUCAGCAUGGUGGACCCUGAACUCACAGCCAGGUUUCUCCCAGAAUGGGGGCUUGGGUGUAAGAGGUCCCGCGCCAGCUCCCGGCUUGGCCCCCAGCUUCAGUAGCCACUCC
rnacentral:lncRNA from 1 species